rnacentral:rRNA from 1 species
UACGGAGGGAGCUAGCGUUGUUCGGAUAUACUGGGCGUAAAGCGCACGUAGGCGGACUCGCAGGUCAAUUGUGAAAUACCUGGGCUCAACCCGGGAACUGCAGUUGAAACCGCUUGUCUUGAAUACCUGAGAGGGUGGGGGAAUACCUGGUGGAGAAGUGAAAUUCGUAGAGAUCAGGUGGAACACCGGAGGCGAAGGCGCCUGCCUGGCAGUGUAUUGACGCUGAGGUGCGAAAGUGCGGGGAGCAAACAGG